UCUACCUUGGCCCUUCACCCAGCCAGAAUUAACAGUCCUGCUUUCAUGCCUUUGCUUGCCACCCAGCUUAGCCUCUUAUCUCAGCUUCUGAAACAUUCUUCAAGGAUAGAAGAGUCUAUGAAGUACAGAAAAGAGGAAAGAUCUGCAAACAAUUCGGUAUCUUCUUUUAACUUGAAACUCAUUCUACCCACUGCUACAGCUAGAUUUGAAACAAUGCAAGGAGGGAAGGAGACAGAGAGAGGGAGCAGGAGCAAGAAGGAGAGAGAGGGAGAGAGAGACACACACAGAGGCAGAGAGAGACAGAGAACGAGAGGGAGAAGAAUUGUUUGUAAAUGAAGAAAGAUUGAAAUAAAUGUUUGAAGAUUUUUACUUUAU
rnacentral:lncRNA from 1 species